rnacentral:rRNA from 1 species
GUGGGGAAUAUUGGACAAUGGGCGCAAGCCUGAUCCAGCCAUGCCGCGUGUGUGAAGAAGGCCUUCGGGUUGUAAAGCACUUUCAGCGAGGAGGAAGGGAUGUAUGUUAAUAGCAUGCAUUUUUGACGUUACUCGCAGAAGAAGCACCGGCUAACUCUGUGCCAGCAGCCGCGGUAAUACAGAGGGUGCAAGCGUUAAUCGGAAUUACUGGGCGUAAAGCGCACGUAGGCGGUUGGUUAAGUUGGAUGUGAAAGCCCCGGGCUCAACCUGGGAAUUGCAUUCAAAACUGGCCAACUAGAGUAUGUGAGAGGGGGGUAGAAUUCCAAGUGUAGCGGUGAAAUGCGUAGAGAUUUGGAGGAAUACCAGUGGCGAAGGCGGCCCCCUGGCACAAUACUGACGCUGAGGUGCGAAAGCGUGGGGAGCAAACAGGAUUAGAUACCCCAGUAGUCC